UACCGGCAGCCCGAGCGUUGUCCGGAAUUAUUGGGCGUAAAGCGCGCGCAGGCGGUCCUUUAAGUCUGAUGUGAAAUCUUGCGGCUUAACCGCAAGCGGUCAUUGGAAACUGGGGGACUUGAGUACAGAAGAGGAGAGCGGAAUUCCACGUGUAGCGGUGAAAUGCGUAGAUAUGUGGAGGAACACCAGUGGCGAAGGCGGCUCUCUGGUCUGUAGCUGACGCUGAGGCGCGAAAGCGUGGGGAGCAAACAGG
rnacentral:misc_RNA from 1 species